AUCGAGUGAAGAGGUCUGAGCCCCCCGUGGCUGACCAGGUGGAGCUGCAGCGCCAGUGACGCUCGGCUGCCUCUCUGCAUGUCCAGGACUGGAAGUGGUGGUGACACCCGUGUCCUGUCCCCCUCCAGCGGCAUGAGGAGAUGAUCAUCCCUGGAGGACCCCCCUGAUCCCCUGGGUGCCCUGGCAAUUUCCCUGCAAUAAUCAAUAAACCCCUGCAGCAAAACAAA